rnacentral:rRNA from 1 species
CUACGGGUUGCUGCAGUGGGGAAUAUUGGACAAUGAGGGAAACCCUGAUCCAGCAAUGCCGCGUGUGUGAAGAAGGCCUGCGGGUUGUAAAGCACUUUCGGUUGGGAGGACUGCUUCUAGCACUAAUAUUGUUGGAAGUUGACGUUACCUUCAGAAGAAGCACCGGCUAACUCCGUGCCAGCAGCCGCGGUAAUACGGAGGGUGCAAGCGUUAAUCGGAAUUACUGGGCGUAAAGCGCGCGUAGGCGGCUAGAUCAGUCGGGUGUGAAAGCCCCGGGCUUAACCUGGGAACUGCAUCCGAUACUGUCUAGCUUGAGUACAGGAGAGGAGAGUGGAAUUCCACAUGUAGCGGUGAAAUGCGUAGAUAUGUGGAGGAACACCAAUGGCGAAGGCAGCUCUCUGGCCUGAUACUGACGCUGAGGUGCGAAAGCGCGGGGAGCAAACAGGAUUAGAUACCCUCGUAGUC